GUCAAUGAUGAACUGGUUAAGGGAUCGAAAGAUCGCCGUCUUUACCUUAAAGUUCAACGGUACGCCAACCUUGAUCAGUUCAUCACCAGU
rfam:[Haemophilus] felis strain CCTG 31170 31170T_ctg_0000021, whole genome shotgun sequence.